UAUAUACUCCCUCCGUCCGGAAAUACUUGUCAUCAAAAUGGAUGUAUCCAUUUUGAUGACAAGUAUUUCCGGACGGAGGGAGUACUAC
rfam:Triticum urartu cultivar G1812 contig175453, whole genome shotgun sequence.